AGGAUUGUAACAUCUCAGACUUCGACUCUGGGAUGAUCAUGUUUGCAUUUGGUUUUAGUUAUUUUUCUCUUUUCAUGCUUUUCAGUUUUUUCGCCCUUUUCGGGCCUCUAUAGGAUCUAUAAGGUAAGGUUUACACCGGUGUUGUUAUAUGGGGAACAAUACCUCUUCACUGCCCUCCUUAUCAUAUGUUCCUAUUUGCUG
rnacentral:lncRNA from 1 species